CCUACGGGGCGCAGCAGUGGGGGAUAUUGCACAAUGGGGGGAACCCUGAUGCAGCGACGCCGCGUGGGUGAAGAAGCGCCUCGGCGCGUAAAGCCCUGUCAGCAGGGAAGAAAAUGACGGUACCUGAAGAAGAAGCCCCGGCUAACUACGUGCCAGCAGCCGCGGUAAUACGUAGGGGGCAAGCGUUAUCCGGAUUUACUGGGUGGAAAGGGGGCGCAGACGGCGAUGCAAGCCAGGAGUGAAAGCCCGGGGCCCAACCCCGGGACUGCUCUUGGAACUGCGUGGCUGGAGUGCAGGAGGGGGAGGCGGAAUUCCUGGUGUAGCGGUGAAAUGCGUAGAUAUCAGGAGGAACACCGGUGGCGAAGGCGGCCUGCUGGACUGCAACUGACGUUGAGGCCCGAAAGCGUGGGGAGCAAACAGGAUUAGAUACCCCGGUAGUC
rnacentral:rRNA from 1 species